AGACGUCUACAUUGAUACCCGCGUAGUCCCAGCCGUAAACUAUGCGCGUUAGGUGUAUCGGUGACCACGAGUCACCGAGGUGCCGAAGGGAAACCGUGAAACGUGCCGCCUGGGAAGUACGGUCGCAAGGCUGAAACUUAAAGGAAUUGGCGGGGGAGCACAACAACGGGUGGAGCCUGCGGUUUAAUUGGACUCAACGCCGGACAACUCACCGGGAACGACAGCAAUAUGUAGGCCAGGCUGAGGACCUUGCCUGAAUCGCUG
rnacentral:rRNA from 1 species